rnacentral:rRNA from 1 species
AAAGUGGAUUAGCGGCGGACGGGUGAGUAACACGUGAGUAACCUGCCUUAGACAUUGGGAUAGCCUCGGGAAACCGGGAUUAAUACCAAAUAAAAUCAUAAUGACACAUGUCAUAACGAUCAAAACUCCGGUGGUCUAAGAUGGACUCGCGUCCCAUUAGCUAGUUGGUAGAGUAAAAGCCUACCAAGGCGACGAUGGGUAGCCGGCCUGAGCGGGUGAACGGCCACAUUGGAACUGAGAAACGGUCCAA